ACGUAGGGGGCAAGCGUUAUCCGGAAUUAUUGGGCGUAAAGAGUGCGUAGGUGGUUUUUUAAGCGUGAGGUGAAAGGCAAUAGCUUAACUAUUGUAAGCCUUGCGAACUGGAAGACUUGAGUGCAGGAGAGGAAAGUGGAAUUCCUAGUGGGGGGCUGUCAUGCGUGGAACUUAGGAGGAGCACCGAUGGCGUAGGCAACAUUCUGGAUUGGAACUGACACUAGGGCACCAAACCGUGGCCAACAAACAG
rnacentral:rRNA from 1 species